UCCCAGACUCCUACGGGAGGCAGCAGUGGGGAAUAUUGCACAAUGGGGGAAACCCUGAUGCAGCAACGCCGCGUGAGUGAAGAAGUCAUUCGUGAUGUAAAGCUCUAUCAGCAGGGAAGAAAAUGACGGUACCUGAGUAAGAAGCCCCGGCUAACUACGUGCCAGCAGCCGCGGUAAUACGUAGGUGGCAAGCGUUAUCCGGAUUUACUGGGUGUAAAGGGCGUGUAGGCGGGGAAGCAAGUCAGAUGUGAAAACCACGGGCUCAACCUGUGGCCUGCAUUUGAAACUGUUUUUCUUGAGUGCUGGAGAGGCAAUCGGAAUUCCGUGUGUAGCGGUGAAAUGCGUAGAUAUACGGAGGAACACCAGUGGCGAAGGCGGAUUGCUGGACAGUAACUGACGCUGAGGCGCGAAAGCGUGGGGAGCAAACAGGAUUAGAUACCCGGGUAA
rnacentral:rRNA from 1 species